GGAGCAACUCUUUGUGUGAUCCACAAAUUGUUGUUCCGGGUCUGGGUGUCAUGUGUAUGUGAACUUGUAUGUUUGUAAACGCACCCACGACACAGGAGAAAAUCCUAAUGUGGGGCAACGUUUUUUUUUUUUUUUUUAAAUUAAAAA